GAAAUGCGAUAAGUAAUGUGAAUUGCAGAAUUCAGUGAAUCAUCGAGUCUUUGAACGCACAUUGCGCCCCCUGGUAUUCCGGGGGGCAUGCCUGUCCGAGCGUCAUUUCAACCAUCAAGCCCCCAGGCUUGUGUUGGGGCACUGCGGCCGCCGCAGGCCCCCAAAAGCAGUGGCGGACUCGCAGUCACACCGAGCGCAGUAGCACAUCUCGCUCAGGGCGUGGCGGCGGGCACCGGCCGUAAAACACCCACUACCAAAGGUUGACCUCGGAUCAGGUAGGAAUACCCGCUGAACUUAA
rnacentral:misc_RNA from 1 species